rnacentral:rRNA from 3 species
UACGUAGGGUGCAAGCGUUGUCCGGAAUUAUUGGGCGUAAAGAGCUCGUAGGCGGUUUGUCGCGUCGAAUGUGAAAACCCGGGGCUCAACCCCGGGCCUGCAUUCGAUACGGGCAGACUAGAGUUCGGUAGGGGAGUCUGGAAUUCCUGGUGUAGCGGUGAAAUGCGCAGAUAUCAGGAGGAACACCGGUGGCGAAGGCGGGACUCUGGGCCGAUACUGACGCUGAGGAGCGAAAGCGUGGGGAGCAAACAGG